AGUGACGAUGGCGGCGUGCCUAAACAUGCAAGUCGAGCGAGAAGCUUAUGAAGGAUCCUUCGGGUGACUGAUUAAAUGGAAAGCGGCGGACGGGUGAGUAACGCGUGGGUAACCUGCCCCAUACAAAGGGAUAGCCACUGGAAACGGUGAUUAAUACCAUAUGAGAUCGUAGAGUCGCAUGACUUAGCGGUUAAAGAUUUAUCGGUAUGGGAUGGACCCGCGUCUGAUUAGCUAGUUGGUAAGGUAACGGCUUACCAAGGCGACGAUCAGUAGCCGACCUGAGAGGGUGAUCGGCCACACUGGAACUGAGACACGGUCCAGACUCCUACGGGAGGCAGCAGUGGGGAAUAUUGCACAAUGGGCGCAAGCCUGAUGCAGCAACGCCGCGUGAGCGAUGAAGGCCUUCGGGUCGUAAAGCUCUGUCCUCAAGGAAGAAUAAAAUGACGGUACUUGAGGAGGAAGCCCCGGCUAACUACGUGCCAGCAGCCGCGGUAAUACGUAGGGGGCAAGCGUUAUCCGGAAUCACUGGGCGUAAAGGGUGCGUAGGCGGUUUUUCAAGUCAGAAGUGAAAGGCUAUGGCUCAACCAUAGUAAGCUUUUGAAACUGUAAAACUUGAGUGCAGGAGAGGUAAGUGGAAUUCCUAGUGUAGAGGUGAAAUUCGUAGAUAUUAGGAGGAACACCAGUGGCGAAGGCGACUUACUGGACUGUAACUGACGCUGAGGCACGAAAGCGUGGGGAGCGAACAGGAUUAGAUACCCUGGUAGUCCACGCCGUAACGAUGAAUACUAGGUGUUGGGGGUCAAACCUCGGUGCCGCAGCUAACGCAUUAAGUAUUCCGCCUGGGGAGUACGCACGCAAGUGUGAAACUCAAUGAAUUGACGG
rnacentral:rRNA from 1 species